rnacentral:rRNA from 1 species
GAUGAACGCUGGCGGCGUGCCUAAUACAUGCAAGUCGAGCGAACAGACGAGGAGCUUGCUCCUCUGACGUUAGCGGCGGACGGGUGAGUAACACGUGGAUAACCUACCUAUAAGACUGGGAUAACUUCGGGAAACCGGAGCUAAUACCGGAUAAUAUAUUGAACCGCAUGGUUCAAUAGUGAAAGACGGUUUUGCUGUCACUUAUAGAUGGAUCCGCGCCGCAUUAGCUAGUUGGUAAGGUAACGGCGUACCAAGGCAACGAUGCGUAGCCGACCUGAGAGGGUGAUCGGCCACACUGGAACUGAGACACGGUCCAGACUCCUACGGGAGGCAGCAGUAGGGAAUCUUCCGCAAUGGGCGAAAGCCUGACGGAGCAACGCCGAGUGAGUGAUGAAGGCCUUCGGAUCGUAAAACUCUGUUAUUAGGGAAGAACAAAUGUGUAAGUAACUAUGCACGUCUUGACGGUACCUAAUCAGAAAGCCACGGCUAACUACGUG